rnacentral:lncRNA from 1 species
GAGAUAGCAGACACCAAAAGAGAAAGACUCUCACUGUUUUCCAAGGUGGUAACCUUUCAUCUUCUCCACUUUAGCUCAUUUUGUGACUACAAUGUCUACCAAUUACAGGGGUCAUUUGAUCUCAGAGGAAAUAGAAAGAAAAAUUGCACCUUGUUAAGUAAGCCUAAAACAGAGCUUUGAACAAACUUCAAAAUAGUAUUUCUUGUCAAAGUAACUUGCAUCCUUCCUGGAGACACAGGACAGAUCUGCCAAGGAGGGCAAUGGCCUGACUCCAGACACCUCAGUGGGUUUCCCAGGAGACCAGUCCUCCUCAUUUCCUGUACCUGAAAUAUGAAGGUGCUCUUUAACAAAAGAAGAAAGAACGUUGUAAUGGAAAAAUGAAAGCCAACAUGAAUAUAUACUCCUAGAUCCAAAAUGGUGAGGAAAUUCAGUUUAGAAGGUCACUGAGCACCAGUCCAUAAGGAUGAAGGGAGCAGAGUCAACAAACAGGGUUUCCCGUGGCCUUCAGCUAGCUGUAAGUAUAAAGAAACUUGGAACAGAGAAGUGGAAAUAAACCUGCUAUAAAGCCCAAAUCAUCCAAACUGGACAAGCUGCAAUAUGAUAAGCCACAGAGACUCCAGACACCCAAAGGUUCAC